rnacentral:rRNA from 1 species
CAGUAGCCGCGGUAAUACGUAGGGUGCGAGCGUUAAUCGGAAUUACUGGGCGUAAAGCGUGCGCAGGCGGUUGUGUAAGACAGGUGUGAAAUCCCCGGGCUUAACCUGGGAAUUGCAUUUCAGACUGGGUAACUAGAGUACUUUAGGGAGGGGUAGAACUCCACGUGUAGCGGUGAAAUGCGUAGAGAUGUGGAGGAAUACCGAAGGCGAAGGCAGCCCCUUGGGAAUGUACUGACGCUCAUGUGCGAAAGCGUGGGGAGCAAACAGGAUUAGAUACCCGAGUAGUCCCUGUCUCUUAUAC